ACUGAACACUGGCGGCAGGCUUAACACAUGCAAGUCGAGCGGAGAUGAGGUGCUUGCACCUUAUCUUAGCGGCGGACGGGUGAGUAAUGCUUAGGAAUCUGCCUAUUAGUGGGGGACAACAUUCCGAAAGGAAUGCUAAUACCGCAUACGUCCUACGGGAGAAAGCAGGGGAUCUUCGGACCUUGCGCUAAUAGAUGAGCCUAAGUCGGAUUAGCUAGUUGGUGGGGUAAAGGCCUACCAAGGCGACGAUCUGUAGCGGGUCUGAGAGGAUGGUCCGCCACACUGGGACUGAGACACGGCCCAGACUCCGACGGGAGGCAGCAGUGGGGAAUAUUGGACAAUGGGGGGAACCCUGAUCCAGCCAUGCCGCGUGUGUGAAGAAGGCCUUAUGGUUGUAAAGCACUUUAAGCGAGGAGGAGGCUACUGAGACUAAUACUCUUGGAUAGUGGACGUUACUCGCAGAAUAAGCACCGGCUAACUCUGUGCCAGCCGCCGCCGUAA
rnacentral:rRNA from 1 species